UCUUGGGCUGGACCAUAAAAACCUAAAAUCAGCUACUGUUCACCAUAUCUGACCUCAAUUUCGUUUUGGACAGGGAGAGGAGAAGGAAGAAGAAGAAGAAGAAGAAGAAGAAGAGGACAAGAAGAAGGAAGGCUGUUAGGGCUUAUUUUUUGGGGCUGCUAUUGCAUACUGCUGGUUCCUACUGUUGCUGCUUACAGUUCUUGCUGUAUGCUACUGAUCAUGGGAGGUUUUCAUGGAGAAAGUUGAGUACCCUUGCUGUCACAUACUCCUGCUGUUGUACUACUUCAAGUUCUGAAAUUUCUUGUACAAAUUGUGGCUAUGUGAAUAUGAUAUGAUGAGGCUAUGGAAUGGUUUUCUGGAUUGUCGAGGCAAAAGAGAAAGAAAAGAGAGAAGGAAGAAGGGUUGCUGCCCCUAUGUUUCCGUCCUAACUACUGCCAGGGAGCUCCAGCUAAGCCUUUGAGUUGAUGUAGCCUUCCCCAACAUGCUUCCAGAGAAAUCGGUAGGAUGCCAGUGAAGCUGCUACUGCUGGAUGGAGCCUGAGAGCAGGGCAACUGCACCAGGGUAUUCCCUACUGCACCUGCAAGUCCUGAAAAGUGGAAGAAGAUGGUGGAACCGGAGGUGAGACAGGAAAAUGAUCAGUAAUGGUUGUGGGGCCAUGUCAACGAGACAAUGAAGAAGAAUGAUAUUUUUCAUCAGUUCUUAUAAUUAUUAUUUAAAUGUUUAUAAGAUUUAAUUAUCUAUGUAGCCCGUGGGAAUAAAUUUAAAAUUGGGCCUUAAUUAUUAAUUAUCAUUGUAGACUAAAUCACCAUGUGUUAUAUUACAUUAUGGCUUUUAUACGUGUAAUCUGAUUUAUAGUAGAUGAUCUCGUGAAUUUGUAAAGGUAGUAGACUGUGUUUUUGAUCCUGGUGGAGGUACGCUAACUAGGUUGAGAAUCCAGUGACGCAUACCUUGGCCUGUAUUCUGGCAGAGUGUGACAUAUGGAACAUGGUUGUAACUAUGGUAUAGAUGGUAUGGGGCAUGGUGUGGCCGAGGUGGAUUUCGGUACCGUGGGCCCAACGGUUAGUAGUAUGGUUAUGAUUAGGGGUGUAAGUUUGGCUCUGACGACCCAAACCUGCCCUGAGCCCGAUCCUUGUCUAACCUAGUUAUGAGGGUCAACCUAAUCAAGCCCGAAAUAACCCUGACUAGGGUUGAGCUGGGACUGGGUUGAGACCUAGGCCUCCCAACCCAUCCCGGCCCAACCCCACUAGAUUUUAACCCUGUUUGGUUAUUGUGUUUAGCAAUAAUAUUCCCCUUCCCCUAGGCCCACAUCAUGUGUUACACAAGCCACAUAAUGUGUUACACAAGCAUUACACAACCUGUCUACAUAGCUUCAACCCACAUCAUGUGUCUGUAUAGGGGUGAAAUAGGGCCGAGUUUCUUAAAACCCUAACCUAACCCUAGGUCCCCAAAACUCAACCCAACCCUAACCCAACCCUAGCGGGUUCAUGCUCAAGCCUAACCCUACCAGGCUCAGGGUUGGGCCAGGUUGGGUCGGGUUGACCCUAGCUAGUCUUCUUCGUGGAAUCACAUUCCGAUAAGUACAAUUCAAUUCUGAUUUCAAUUCUUCAAAUCAUCCGCUACCUUCAAACUCUGAAAAACAUUUACCGUAACUGACCCUUUGCCCCUUAAAUUCCUCAAAGUGCCAGCAUAUGCUAAGAGUCUAAAGAGAAAUGGUCCCUUCUACUAAUGCAAUGACAUUAUGGGUUGAAUUCAAUCUUUGUCACAAUUGAAGUCCAGAUUGAGAAUUGUCACUAAAUACCCAAAUGGGCCAAGCCCAACCCAAAAUAUUAGGCAGAUGGAGUUGCUUCCUGUCAAUAUGUGCAAUGUUCCAGU